UUAUGGGAUAUAUCAAGUCGCUAUGGCGUAACGAUCGUUUUGCACCGGUUUCCAUUAAAAAAAUGCAAGCGCGUAAAAGGUGUUUCCGGUCGUUUCUGUCGCAAGGAUAGAAUUCUAGUCUAUCUCAAACGAUCGAUACGCAAGGAUCGUUUCUAACGUAAGGAUCGCUUUUGUCGUUUGAGUUGAGAGUUUCCAUAUGAUCGUCUCUGUCGCUUCUACAAAUUGCAAGCGACAAAGACGAUCCUUACGACAGGAACGAUCAUAUGGAAACCUGGCUUAAAAGUCCAAUGUUUAUUCUUGCAACUUGCAAAAGUUGUUGACGAAGCGAAAAUUUGAAGCAGGUGUAUGGCAAGUCAAAGUUGACAAAAGUGUAAUUAAUUUUAUAAAUUGACAGUCGAGUGAAAAAAAUAAGAAAUUGACUGUCGAGAUUAGACAAUUGGUUGUUGAGAAAAAAAGUUAUACCAGAAAUGAAAAUUGAUACUUGAAAAAAUGGAAAUGAUGUGUUGAAUACUUGAGAUGAAAAAAGUGCCUGAUGAGAUACAACAAAACAAACUGUCUGUUGAGAAAUAUAUAAAUUGAUAGUCGAGAAAAAGAAAUCGUAUGUCGAGAUUUUGACUGUACUUAGUGGUCAUCCGUUUAUUGUUAUUUUCAUGUCUAUAUUGAGUGCAAAUUAAUACGAACCUUGACAUCUUCAUAUACGUCGGAAGUAUUGCCGGAUGUACACAAAGUAACAUCCCCCCAAACCAGACAUUUAGUUGUUCUACAUGAGCUCACGGUUUAAAUUGGUUUAGCAGGAGGAGACGACAGGUUCUGUUGUUUAAACUAUCUUCAUUAAGUUCGUUUUAUCGUAUUGGAUUGUUUGUCAAUCAUGGUGUUCAUUUGCUCAAAAUCAAGAUGUUAUAGAGUAAUUUUCUUUCUAAUUAUGUCCAUAAUCGUUGGAGUAUUCUCGCGAUCUCUACCAAGCUUUUUCUUUAAGGAAACUGAAACUCAACAAAUCUUUAAGUGUGAUGUAACCUUGACUGGCAACAGCACUGUGAAAUUUAUUGCUAAUAAUUGCAUUAAUGACUCUCGAUGAAAAAGUGAUUUAUUGGGUCAAAUUCAGUGUCCAACAUAUGGAGUAUGUUGUUGUGAUAUUUUUCUCCCUACCCUACUCUUUUGAACAGGCUUUGUUGUUAAAGAAUGUAUGUCAACCACAAUUCAUUGCGCGCUUUUGUUUAUGUUUACAACGCAGUUAACUCUAUAACAACGUUACAUUUUUGAGCCAUUGGUGCAAUGAAUCCUAGUUAGAUAGUAUACGUCAUUUAAUUUAGCUGAAAAAUUCAGCAAAAAAAACAUUUAAAAAUUUUGAUUGUAAUUGCGAGUGCUGAGUUGGUACAAACUUCGAAAUAUUGUAUGUAAAACUCAAUGCUGUUAUUUUUUAAUGGCAAUUUACUAGUUUUGUAGUUGUAAAUUAUAGACAUAGGACUAAAGGUACGUUUUUCUCUUCAUUCAAAAUUUGAAAAAAAUAAGCAGCAAAUUCACUAUCUGA